GAGCGAGCCGUUCCCUGUGUCUGUCAGAGGAGUGAAGGUGCCAAAAUGCCGGCCCAUCUGGGCAGGUGGGUGCAGCAGGGCCCAGAACGCAGGGAGGGGAAGCCAGAAGCACUGCGUGCUGCCGGGCUUCCUCCAGCUGGGUGGCACAACGUCCCCUUCCGUGGGCACAGCCCUGCUCCUGCUCUGGGCAGAGCCAAAUGGGGCUAAAAGGAUCCCAGCAGAGCGUGUCCCAGCGCUGGGCUGUGAUAACCACCAUCUGAUCUCUCCCUUAGGCAACACGCUGCCAAAGAGAGGGGAAGGAGAACUCCCGUCCUGCUUCUAGUAGUCCUUUCUGCUGGAGCCUUCCUCUGGAUAUUGGCAGCUUGGAAAAAUGACGUCCUGCAGGAAAUUGUGCAGCUGCCAAGAGAUGCAGUCGAGGAG
rnacentral:lncRNA from 1 species